rnacentral:rRNA from 1 species
CGCGGCCUAUCAGCUUGUUGGUGAGGUAAUGGCUCACCAAGGCGACGACGGGUAGCCGGCCUGAGAGGGCGACCGGCCACACUGGGACUGAGACACGGCCCAGACUCCUACGGGAGGCAGCAGUGGGGAAUAUUGCACAAUGGGCGAAAGCCUGGUGCAGCGACGCCGCGUGAGGGAUGACGGCCUUCGGGUUGUAAACCUCUUUCGGCAGGGAAGAAGCGAAAGUGACGGUACCUGCAGAAGAAGCGCCGGCUAACUACGUGCCAGCAGCCGCGGUAAUACGUAGGGCGCAAGCGUUGUCCGGAAUUAUUGGGCGUAAAGAGCUCGUAGGCGGCUUGUCACGUCGGGUGUGAAAGCCCGGGGCUUAACCCCGGGUCUGCAUUCGAUACGGGCUAGCUAGAGUGUGGUAGGGGAGAUCGGAAUUCCUGGUGUAGCGGUGAAAUGCGCAGAUAUCAGGAGGAACACCGGUGGCGAAGGCGGAUCUCUGGGCCAUUACUGACGCUGAGGAGCGAAAGCGUGGGGAGCGAACAGGAUUAGAUACCCUGGUAGUCCACGCCGUAAACGGUGGGAACUAGGUGUUGGCGACAUUCCACGUCGUCAGUGCCGCAGCUAACGCAUUAA